rnacentral:rRNA from 1 species
AUUGAACGCUGGCGGCAUGCCUUACACAUGCAAGUCGAACGGCAGCACGGGGCAACCUGGUGGCGAGUGGCGAACGGGUGAGUAAUGCAUCGGAACGUACCUUUCAGUGGGGGAUAACGUAGCGAAAGUUACGCUAAUACCGCAUAUUCUGUGAGCAGGAAAGCAGGGGAUCGCAAGACCUUGCGCUGAUUGAGCGGCCGAUGUCAGAUUAGCUAGUUGGUGAGGUAAAGGCUCACCAAGGCGACGAUCUGUAGCGGGUCUGAGAGGAUGAUCCGCCACACUGGAACUGAGAAACGGGCCAGACUCCUACGGGAGGCAGCAGUGGGGAAUUUUGGACAAUGGGGGCAACCCUGAUCCAGCCAUGCCGCGUGAGUGAAGAAGGCCUUCGGGUUGUAAAGCUCUUUCGGCCGGGAAGAAAUCGCACGGGCUAAUACCCUGUGUGGGUGUCGGUACCGGAAUAAGAAGCACUGGCUAACUACGUGCCAGCAGCAGCCGCCGUAA